rnacentral:rRNA from 1 species
ACGGGGUGCAGCAGGCGCGAAACCUCCGCAAUGUACGAAAGUGCGACGGGGGGAUCCCAAGUGUUAUUCUUAAUAGGAUAACUUUUCAUUAAUGUAAAGAGCUUUUGGAAUAAGGGCUGGGCAAGACCGGUGCCAGCCGCCGCGGUAACACCGGCAGCUCUAGUGGUAGCAGUUUUUAUUGGGCCUAAAGCGUCCGUAGCCGGUUUAAUAAGUCUCUGGUGAAAUCCUGUAGCUUAACUGUGGGAAUUGCUGGAGAUACUAUUAGACUUGAGACCGGGAGAGGUUAGAGGUACUCCCAGGGUAGAGGUGAAAUUCUGUAAUCCUGGGAGGACCGCCUGUUGCGAAGGCGUCUAACUGGAACGGUUUCUGACGGUGAGGGACGAAAGUUAGGGGCGCGAACCGGAUUAGAUACCCGGGUAGUCCUAACUGUAAACGAUGCGGACUUGGUGUCGGGGGUGGCCUUUGAGCUGUUUCCAAUGGCCGGAAGGGAAGCUGUUAAGUCCGCCGGCCUGGGAAGUACGGUCGCAAGACUGAAACUUAAGGAAUUUGGGCCGGGGGGAAGCAC